rnacentral:tRNA from 1 species
AGCGUGUAGUUCAGUGGUAGAACGCUGUCCUGAUAAGACAGAGGUCGAUGGUUCGAUCCCAUCCACCGUUG